GAGAUCAACAUCAGGUUAUUGUACCUUGGUAGUAAUUUAGUCACUUAGAUAAGUAAGAAGCAGAAUGUAAUAGCAAGAUCCAGUGCAGAAGUAGAAUACAGAGCUAUGGCACAGGGCAUUUGUGAGUUACUGUAGUUACAGAAGUUGAUGGAAGAAAUGAGACUACUAGAAACAAACAGAUUGUCCUUAUUCUGUGACAACAAAGCUGCUAUCAGUAUAGUUCAUAACCCAGUUCAACAUUAAUCGGACCAAACUUAUAGAGAUUGAUCGACACUUCAUA
rnacentral:misc_RNA from 1 species